rnacentral:rRNA from 1 species
AAGUUUGAUGGCGACCGGCGCACGGGUGAGUAACACGUAUCCAACCUGCCGAUGACUCGGGGAUAGCCUUUCGAAAGAAAGAUUAAUACCCGAUGGCAUAGUUCUUCCGCAUGGUAGAACUAUUAAAGAAUUUCGGUCAUCGAUGGGGAUGCGUUCCAUUAGGUUGUUGGCGGGGUAACGGCCCACCAAGCCUUCGAUGGAUAGGGGUUCUGAGAGGAAGGUCCCCCACAUUGGAACUGAGACACGGUCCAAACUCCUACGGGAGGCAGCAUG